AGAGAGAGACAUGCGCGCAUAUCAAUAAGCGGAGGAAAAGAAACUAACUAGGAUUCCUUCAGUAACGGCGAGUGAAGCGGGAAGAGCUCAAAUUUGAAAUCUUCAAGGUUCUACCUUGACGAAUUGUAGUUUAUAGAAGUGUUUUCUGUUAGUGGAGUGGCAAAAGUUCUUUGGAAUAGGACAUCAUAGAGGGUGAGAAUCCCGUAUUUGGUCAUUCCUCCUAGCGUUGUGAUACACUUUCAACGAGUCGGAUUGUUUGGGAAUGCAGUCCAAAAUGGGUGGUAAAUUUCAUCUAAAGCUAAAUAUUGGCGAGAGACCGAUAGCGAACAAGUACCGUGAGGGAAAGAUGAAAAGAACUUUGAAAAGAGAGUUAAACAGUACGUGAAAUUGUCAAAAGGGAAGCGUUUGACACCAGUGUUGUUUUUCCGAAAAUCAAUUACGAGUGUUUUGUUUUUAAGAAGUUAUGAUUUCAUCGGCUUGCUCCUUUCUUUACGAAACUUUCUUAAUGCACUUUUCGGUUAACAAGUCAACAUCAAUUUCUUUUGUUGUAAAAGGGUACGAGGAAGGUGGCUUUCUUUUCGGAGAAAGUGUUUAUAGCCUUGUGCCUCUGCAAUCGGAGAGAUUGAGGUCUGCAGCGUAGAUCCUUCGGGGUUAGAUACAGUUUGUGCUAAGUUAUAGCUUUUCAUAGACAACUUGUUGACUAUGUUUAGUCUUGUAGCUUACUCGCUGACGCUAUUUUACCUACGCUUAGGAUGUUGAUAGUCACAGCGUGUAC
rnacentral:rRNA from 1 species